rnacentral:rRNA from 1 species
AAAGGAAUUGACGGGGACCCGCACAAGCAGCGGAGCAUGUGGUUUAAUUCGAAGCAACGCGAAGAACCUUACCAAGAAUUGACAUCCCUCGAAUUCAUAUGAAAGUAUGGAGUCCUUCGGGACGGGGAGACAGGUGGUGCAUGGUUGUCGUCAGCUCGUGUCGUGAGAUGUUCGGUUAAGUCCGGCAACGAGCGCAACCCUUAUUGACAGUUGCCAAUAUUAAGUUAGGAACUCUGUCGAAACUGCCGUGAAUAACGCGGAGGAAGGUGGGGAUGACGUCAAAUCAUCAUGCCCUUUAUAUCUUGGGCUACACACGUGCUACAAUGGGCGCAACAAAGAGCGGCGAGUGAGUAAUCAUGAGCGAAUCUCAAAAAAGCGUUCUCAGUUCAGAUUGUGGGCUGCAACCCGCCCACAUGAAGUAGGAGUUGCUAGUAAUCACGAAUCAGAACGUCGUGGUGAAUGCGUUCCCGGGUCUUGUACACACCGCCCGU